UAAAUCACGUUUGAACCAUCAGUUCUCGUACGAUCACCGAAAUUAAGCAACGUUGAGCCUGAUCAGUACCUCGACGGGUGACCGCUUGGAAAUUCCAGAUGCUAU